UACGUAGGGUGCGAGCGUUAAUCGGAAUUACUGGGCGUAAAGCGUGCGCAGGCGGAUUGUUAAGCAAGAUGUGAAAUCCCCGGGCUUAACCUGGGAACUGCGUUUGAAACUGUGGAGCUAGAGUACGGCAGAGGGGGGUGGAAUUCCACGUGUAGCAGUGAAAUGCGUAGAUAUGUGGAGGAACACCGAUGGCGAAGGCAGCCCCCUGGGCCGAUACUGACGCUCAGGCACGAAAGCGUGGGGAGCAAACAGG
rnacentral:rRNA from 1 species